GGGGAUUUAGCUCAGUGGCAUAAGCACCUGCCUUGCAAGCAGGCGGGCGUGAGUUCAAUCCCUG
rfam:Cavia porcellus supercont2_3 genomic scaffold, whole genome shotgun sequence.